rnacentral:rRNA from 6 species
ACGACGUUGAUAGGUUGGGUGUGUAAGCGCUGUGAGGCGUUGAGCUAACCAAUACUAAUUGCCCGUGAGGCUUGACCAUAUAACACCCAAGCAAUU